AAAUGAUGAUGACAGGAGAAACGAGCACAGCAGACCUGGUGACCAGUGAUACGCCCUCAAGGACAACACAUCUAGCGGAAUCCCUUGAAAGUCCAUCCGGUUGUAUAGAAUAUUUAUGUGAGAACGGCUGGUGUUUGGAGACUAUGGAGAGCUACAAAUGUUACUGUUUUGCUGGAUUCCACGGGACCCAUUGCAAUGAACGUACAGCAGAUAAUUCGAGCUGUCAAGAUAUUUUCGGAUGGUAUGAAGGCAAUCUUUAUUGUUACUUUGAUGAGAGAGUCAACUUUUCUCGAGCACUGACGAACUGUCGGAACAUCAACUGGAAAGAUCAGGAAGACGAUCAUUCUCCUGGUUUUUCCGAUCUAGUGUCCAUUCACAGUGAUGGGGAGACGAACAUUAUUUUGGACUUGUGCAAAG